CACUGGGUCUUACCCGAGCCGUGAGGAACCGGUUGCCUGUAGUGGGCACGGUUUGGUGCACAACAAACGUUGAGCCGCAAGGGAUUUUGCGGUGAUGGGACUGCCAGACACACUAUUGGGCUUUGAGACAACAGGCCCGUGCCCCUUUUUUGGGGGGUGGCAUCCGGUUGCGGGUGUCGGCGUGUUGUUGCCUCACUUUGGUGGUGGGGUGUGGUGUUUGAUUUGUGGAUAGUGGUUGCGAGCAUCUAGCACGCAGUGUGGCUGGGGGCCUUCGGGUUUCCGGUCUUGUUGUGUGUUGAUGUGCAAUUUCUUUUGAAACUCAUUUUUGGUUUUUGUGUUGUAAGUGUCUAAGG
rnacentral:misc_RNA from 1 species